rnacentral:rRNA from 1 species
UAGCUUGACUGCGAGAGUGACGGCUCGAGCAGGUGCGAAAGCAGGUCUUAGUGAUCCGGUGGUUCUGAAUGGAAGGGCCAUCGCUCAACGGAUAAAAGGUACUCCGGGGAUAACAGGCUGAUACCGCCCAAGAGUUCAUAUCGACGGCGGUGUUUGGCACCUCGAUGUCGGCUCAUCACAUCCUGGGGCUGAAGUAGGUCCCAAGGGUAUGGCUGUUCGCCAUUUAAAGUGGUACGCGAGCUGGGUUUAGAACGUCGUGAGACAGUUCGGUCCCUAUCUGCCGUGGGCGCUGGAGAAUUGAGGGGGGCUGCUCCUAGUACGAGAGGACCGGAGUGGACGCAUCACUGGUGUUCGGGUUGUCAUGCCAAUGGCAUUGCCCGGUAGCUAAAUGCGGAAGAGAUAAGUGCUGAAAGCAUCUAAGCACGAAACUUGCCCCG